rnacentral:tRNA from 1 species
GGUGAGAUGGCUGAAUUUAAUAGGUGAUAGACUGUAAAUCUAUUUAUGAGAAUGAAUCUCUCUUACCA